CCCUUAGAUGUUCGGGGCCGCACGCGCGCUACACUGAAGGGAUCAGCGUGUUUUCCCUUCCCGAGAGGGACGGGUAACCCGCUGAACCCCCUUCGUGGUAGGGAUCGGAGCUUGCAAUUGUUCUCCGUGAACCAGGAAUUCCCAGUAAGCGCAAGUCAUAAGCUUGCGUUGAUUACGUCCCUGCCCUUUGUACACACCGCCCGUCGCUACUACCGAUUGAACGUUUUAGUGAGGUAUUUGGACUGGGCCUUGGGAGGUUUCGGCCUCCCUUGUUGCUCGGAAAGACUCCCAAACUUGAGCGUUUAGAGGAAGUAAAAGUCGUAACA
rnacentral:rRNA from 1 species